CACUCCCGUUUCUGCCUGCUACUCUCUCUCCGCCAUAGGGUUUGCAGUCUUGUUUUGGAGGAGAUCAAGCUGGGGGUUGGCUGUCUGAUUUGAUACUUCACGACUCACCCUUCCCCCAGUUCGUUUCCCAACCUCAUAGCCGUCACGAAAUUUCAUGAAUGUCGGCACUUGUUGUGAAUACACCU
rfam:Pichia kudriavzevii strain SD108 scaffold00026, whole genome shotgun sequence.